rnacentral:rRNA from 2 species
GACGUAGGGUCCAAGCGUUGUCCGGAUUUACUGGGCGUAAAGAGCGCGUAGGCGGUCUGUUAAGUGUGAAGUGAAAUCUCCAGAGCUCAACUCGGAAACUGCUUCGCAUACUGGCAGACUUGAGGAAUGCAGAGGUAAGUAGAAUUCCUGGUGUAGCGGUGACAUGCAUUGAUAUCAGGAGGAAUACCCAUGGCGAAGGCAGCUUACUGGGCAUUAUCUGACGCUGAGGCGCGAAAGCGUGGGGAGCAAACAGG